AGGGUUUGAUCAUGGCUCAGAUUGAACGCUGGCGGCAUGCCUUACACAUGCAAGUCGAACGGUAACAGGUCUUCGGAUGCUGACGAGUGGCGAACGGGUGAGUAAUACAUCGGAACGUGCCCGAUCGUGGGGGAUAACGAGGCGAAAGCUUUGCUAAUACUGCAUACGAUCUACGGAUGAAAGCGGGGGAUCUUCGGACCUCGCGCGGACGGAGCGGCCGAUGGCAGAUUAGGUAGUUGGUGGGAUAAAAGCUUACCAAGCCGACGAUCUGUAGCUGGUCUGAGAGGAUGAUCAGCCACACUGGGACUGAGACACGGCCCAGACUCCUACGGGAGGCAGCAGUGGGGAAUUUUGGACAAUGGGCGAAAGCCUGAUCCAGCCAUGCCGCGUGCAGGAUGAAGGCCUUCGGGUUGUAAACUGCUUUUGUACGGAACGAAAAGCCUCUUUCUAAUAAAGAGGGGUCAUGACGGUACCGUAAGAAUAAGCACCGGCUAACUACGUGCCAGCCGCCGCGGUAAUAC
rnacentral:rRNA from 1 species